rnacentral:rRNA from 1 species
GAGUUUGAUCCUGGCUCAGAUUGAACGCUGACGGCAUGCCUUACACAUGCAAGUCGAACGGUAACAGGUCUUCGGAUGCUGACGAGUGGCGAACGGGUGAGUAAUGCAUCGGAACGUGCCCAGUAGUGGGGGAUAGCCCGGCGAAAGCCGGAUUAAUACCGCAUACGACCUGAGGGUGAAAGGGGGGGAUCGCAAGACCUCUCGCUAUUGGAGCGGCCGAUGUCAGAUUAGCUAGUUGGUGGGGUAAAGGCCUACCAAGGCAACGAUCUGUAGUUGGUCUGAGAGGACGACCAGCCACACUGGGACUGAGACACGGCCCAGACUCCUACGGGAGGCAGCAGUGGGGAAUUUUGGACAAUGGGCGCAAGCCUGAUCCAGCAAUGCCGCGUGCAGGAAGAAGGCCUUCGGGUUGUAAACUGCUUUUGUCAGGGAAGAAAUCUUCUGGGUUAAUACCUCGGGAGGAUGACGGUACCUGAAGAAUAAGCACCGGCUAACUACGUGCCAGCAGCCGCGGUA